rnacentral:rRNA from 1 species
UGCGUAACGCGUGAGCAACCUACCUCUAUCAGGGGGAUAGCCUCUCGAAAGAGAGAUUAACACCGCAUAACAUAUCUGACCGGCAUCGGUUAGUUAUUAAAUAUUUAUAGGAUAGAGAUGGGCCCGCGUGACAUUAGCUAGUUGGUAGGGUAACGGCUUACCAAGGCGACGAUGUCUAGGGGCUCUGAGAGGAGAAUCCCCCACACUGGUACUGAGACACGGAAAGACUCCUACGGGAGGCAGCAGUAAGGAAUAUUGGUCAAUGGGCGGAAGCCUGAACCAGCCAUGCCGCGGGCAGGAAAACUGCCCUAUGGGUUGUAAACUGCUUUUGUCCAGGAAUAAACCUUUCUACGUGUANGAAGCUGAAUGUACUGGAAGAAUAAGGAUCGGCUAACUCCGUGCCAGCAGGGGCGGUAAUACGGAGGAUCCGAGCGUUAUCCGGAUUUAUUGGGUUUAAAGGGUGCGUAGGCGGCCUAUUAAGUCAGGGGUGAAAUACGGUGGCUCAACCAUCGCAGUGCUUUUGAUACUGAUGGGCUUGAAUCCAAAUGAAGUGGGCGGAAUAAG